rnacentral:rRNA from 1 species
CGGCAUGCCUAACACAUGCAAGUCGAACGAUGCCUUCGGGCAUAGUGGCGCACGGGUGCGUAACGCGUGGGAAUCUGCCCUUGGGUUCGGAAUAACAGAGAGAAAUUUCUGCUAAUACCGGAUGAUGACGUAAGUCCAAAGAUUUAUCGCCCAAGGAUGAGCCCGCGUAGGAUUAGCUAGUUGGUGAGGUAAAGGCUCACCAAGGCGACGAUCCUUAGCUGGUCUGAGAGGAUGAUCAGCCACACUGGGACUGAGACACGGCCCAGACUCCUACGGGAGGCAGCAGUGGGGAAUAUUGGACAAUGGGCGCAAGCCUGAUCCAGCAAUGCCGCGUGAGUGAUGAAGGCCUUAGGGUUGUAAAGCUCUUUUACCCGGGAUGAUAAUGACAGUACCGGGAGAAUAAGCUCCGGCUAACUCCGUGCCAGCAGCCGCGGUAAUACGGAGGGAGCUAGCGUUAUUCGGAAUUACUGGGCGUAAAGCGCACGUAGGCGGCUUUGUAAGUUAGAGGUGAAAGCCUGGAGCUCAACUCCAGAAUUGCCUUUAAGACUGCAUCGCUUGAAUCCAGGAAGAGGUGAGUGGAAUUCCGAGUGUAGAGGUGAAAUUC